AAAAGAAAAAAGAAGAAAAGAAAAAAAGGACUGGAAAGACAUUGGUGAAUAGAAAGAUGAAAAGGGUGAAGAAAAAAAUGAUGAUGGUCAAUAGGGUGGUUUUAAAAGAGGCUUUUGUUUUAUUAAUUUGUUUUUGUGUGAGUGUGUGUGUAUGUGUUUGUUUUUUGCCUAAAAGUAUUUAACUCCGCAUUACACCACUGAUUUCAAAGAAAAAAAGCUGAAAUGUAAGAUCAUAUGAUUUGUUUUUAAACUGAACACUGUAUACUGUCUUUUUAUUUUUGCAAAAUUAAUGUAGUAUCCAGUGUGUCUUUAGAUAACCCUGUCCUUAAUGAUAUUUUCAAUAGCCACUAACCUUGCCUGGUACUGUUUCGGGGUUUAAACUAGAACAGAAAUUUAAGGCAGGCUUUAUUAGUGCAUAGUACAAAUCAAUUACAUAUAUAUGGAGAUAUUAUUUUUCCCUCUUCAAUUGUUUUUCAUGCAGCUUACCCAAUAUAAUUGUUCUGUUAGUUGUACACUACUCUGUGAUAGCAAAUAAUAAUAAUAAAAUAAUUAUGAUGAUAUUGCC
rnacentral:lncRNA from 10 species